rnacentral:pre_miRNA from 14 species
GUGCCGCGCGAGAACUCCGGCUGUGACCUGUGUGCCCCGUGUUGAACUUCACAUCACAGUCUGAGUUCUUGCUUGGCGC